rnacentral:rRNA from 1 species
ACCCGCUGAACUUAAGCAUAUCAAUAAGCGGAGGAAGAGAAACUAACCAGGAUUCCCCCAGUAACGGCGAGCGAAGCGGGAACAGCUCGAGCAGGCAAUCUCUGGUCGCCAGCGAAUUGUGGCCGGCAGAGGCGGAUGCACUCCGUCGAAGUUGACCUGGAAAGGCACGUCGGAGAGGGUGAUAGCCCCGGAGAGUCGGGUUGUUUGGGAGUGCAGCCCAAAGUGGGUGGUAAACUCCAUCUAAAGCCAAAUAGCGGCACGAGACCGAUAGCGAACAAGUACCAUGAGGGAAAGGUGAAAAGCACUUUGGAAAGAGAGUUAAAGAGGCCGCGAAACCGUUGGGAGGGAAACGCAU